GCCUGGGUGGCUCAGUCGGUUAAGCGUCCGACUUCGGCUCGGGUCAUGAUCUCAUGGUUCGUGGGUUCGAGCCCCACGUCGGGCU
rnacentral:tRNA from 1 species